CGUCGCAAGAUUAAACUCAAAGAAUGACGGGACCCGCCCAAGCGGUGGAUGAUGUGGAUAAUUCGAUGCAACGCGAAAACCUUACCUACCCUGACAUGGUCGGAAUCCCGCUGAGAGUGGGAGUGCUCGAAAGAGAACCGGCGCACAGGUGCUGCAUGGCUGUCGUCAGCUCGUGUCGUGAGAUGUUGGGUUAAGUCCCGCAACGAGCGCAACCCUUGUCCUUAGUUGCUACGCAAGAGCACUCUAAGGAGACUGCCGGUGACAAACCGGAGGAAGGUGGGGAUGACGUCAAGUCCUCAUGGCCCUUAUGGGUAGGGCUUCACACGUCAUACAAUGGUCGGAACAGAGGGUUGCCAACCCGCGAGGGGGAGCUAAUCCCAGAAAACCGAUCGUAGUCCGGAUUGCACUCUGCAACUCGAGUGCAUGAAGCUGGAAUCGCUAGUAAUCGCGGAUCAUCAUGCCGCGGUGAAUACGUUCCCGGGUCUUGUACACACCGCCCGUCACACCAUGGGAGUGGGUUUUACCAGAAGUGGCUAGUAAACCGCAAGGAGGACGGUCACCACUGUAGGCAUCGAGGGGGGGAGAAUCUGUGCGAUCUACGUAUCUGAUCA
rnacentral:rRNA from 1 species